GUGGGGAAUAUUCCGCAAUGGACGAAAGUCUGACGGAGCAACGCCGCGUGAGUGAUGAAGGUUUUCGGACUGUAAAGCUCUGUUGUUUAGGACGAAAGUGCCUGUUGCAAAUAGUUACAGGUAUUGACGGUACUGAACGAGGAAGCCACGGCUAACUACGUGCCAGCAGCCGCGGUAAUACGUAGGUGGCAAGCGUUGUCCGGAAUUAUUGGGCGUAAAGAGCAUGUAGGCGGGAAUCUAAGUCUGUUGUGAAAAUGCGGGGCUCAACCCCGUAUUGCGAUGGAAACUGGGUUUCUUGAGUGCAGGAGAGGAAAGGGGAAUUCCCAGUGUAGCGGUGAAAUGCGUAGAUAUUAGGAAGAACACCAGUGGCGAAGGCGACUUUCUGGACGAAAACUGACGCUGAGGCGCGAAAGCCAGGGGAGCGAACGGGAUUAGAAACCCCGGUAGUCC
rnacentral:rRNA from 1 species